GAUGAACGCUGGCGGCGUGCCUAACACAUGCAAGUCGAACGGAGUUAAACGCUGAAUUGAUGGUAGCUUGCUAUUGGAUUUUCUUGUUUAACUUAGUGGCGGACGGGUGAGUAACACGUGAGCAACCUGCCUUUCAGAGGGGGAUAACGGCUGGAAACGGUCGCUAACACCGCAUGAUAUAUUCGAGUGGCAUCGCUUGAAUAUCAAAGGAGCAAUCCGCUGAAAGAUGGGCUCGCGUCUGAUUAGAUAGUUGGUGGGUAACGCCUACCAAGUCGACGAUCAGUAGCCGGACUGAGAGGUUGAACGGCCACAUUGGGACUGAGAUACGGCCCAGGACUCCUACGGGAGCAGCAGUGGGAAUAUUGCACAAUGGGGAAACCCUGAUGCAGCAAC
rnacentral:rRNA from 1 species